rnacentral:rRNA from 1 species
UACGUAGGGUGCGAGCGUUGUCCGGAAUUACUGGGCGUAAAGAGCUCGUAGGCGGUCUGUCGCGUCUGCUGUGAAAACUCAGGGCUUAACCCUGAGCUUGCAGUGGGUACGGGCAGACUAGAGUGCGGUAGGGGAGACUGGAAUUCCUGGUGUAGCGGUGAAAUGCGCAGAUAUCAGGAGGAACACCGGUGGCGAAGGCGGUUCUCUGGGCAUUACCUGACGCUGAGGAGCGAAAGUGUGGGGAGCGAACAGG